rnacentral:rRNA from 1 species
UACGUAGGGUGCAAACGUUGCUCGGAAUUAUUGGGCGUAAAGCGCGUGUAGGCGGCUUGUUAAGUCGGUUGUGAAAACCCAUGGCUCAACCAUGGAAGGGCGUCCGAAACUGGCAAGCUAGAGUCCCGACGAGGAUGGCGGAAUUCCCAGUGUAGAGGUGAAAUUCGUAGAUAUUGGGAGGAACACCGGUGGCGAAGGCGGCUUUCUGGGUCUUACCUGACGCUGAGGAACGAAAGCUAGGGGAGCGAACGGG